GACGAACGCUGGCGGCGUGCCUAACACAUGCAAGUCGAACGGAAAGGCCAUGCUUUUGUGGGGUGCUCGAGUGGCGAACGGGUGAGUAACACGUGAGUAACCUGCACUUGACUUUGGGAUAACUUCAGGAAACUGGGGAUCAUACAGGAUAGGAGCUCCUGCUGCAUGGUGGGGGUUGGAAAGUUUCGGUGGUUGGGGAUGGACUUGCGGCUUAACAGCUUGUUGGUGGGGUAGUGGCUUACCAGGGCUUUGACGGGUAGCCGGCAUGAGAGAGUGGCCGGCCACACUGGGACUGAAAGGCGGCCCAGAGUCGGACGGGUGGCAGAAGGGGGGAAUGUUGCACGAUGGACGGAAGCCUGAGGCAGCAAGGCCGCGGGCGGGAAGACCGCCGUCGUGUUGUAAGCCGCUUUCGCCUGGUACGAAGCGUGAGUGACAGGAAUCGGUAAAAAAGCACCGGCUAACUACGUGC
rnacentral:rRNA from 1 species